ensembl:lncRNA
CCGCAGAACUGAUUUCAUUUUUACCAGCUCCGACUGAACGCCUACAGUGUUGCGCUCGUCGCUGCUUUUGAAUCAACACCUUCAGGGCUAAAUGAACUGUCGUAGUGCCGCGUGCGGGUUUAAUUCACGCGGCAUUUGAUCCCGUCCGCUGAACACACACAAAUGUUCCCCUUCGGGUCGUUUUAUUACAGGCCGCGUGUCCCUGCGGCGCUCGUCCGGCGUUCGGGUAACACUCACAGCUGAAUCAACGUCUGCAGGUGACGUUCAUGUCAUUCGAUUAAUUAACACGAGAAGAAUUCCUCUCAUCUUUAGAGUACUGAAUUAACGCCCGCAGUGUUGGGUUAAUUACACACGUUUAUUUAAGACGUGUAACGUCGGGUUAAUUACACACGUUUAUUUAAGACGUGUAACGUCGGGUUAAUUACACACGUUUAUUUAAGACGUGUAACGUCGGGUUAAUUACACACGUUAUUUAAGACGUGUAACGUCGGGUUAAUUACACACGUUUAUUUAAGACGUGUAACGUCGGGUUAAUUACACACGUUUAUUUAAGACGUGUAACGUCGGGUUAAUUACACACGUUUAUUUAAGACGUGUAACGUCAGGUUAAUUACACACGUUUAUGCAGGUUAAUUAUAAACAUUUAUUUAGGUUAAUUAUAAACAUUUAUUUAGGUUAAUUAUAAAUAUUUAUUUAGGUUACUUAUAAACAUUUAUUUAGGUUAAUUAUAAAUAUUUAUUUAGGUUACUUAUAAACAUUUAUUUAGGUUAAUUAUAAAUAUUUAUUUAG